rnacentral:rRNA from 1 species
AACGAACGCUGGCGGCAGGCCUAACACAUGCAAGUCGAGCGAGCAUUUCGGUGCUAGCGGCGGACGGGUGAGUAACGCGUGGGAACGUGCCCUUUUCUUCGGAAUAGUCCUGGGAAACUGGGGGUAAUACCGCAUACGCCCUUUUGGGGAAAGAUUUAUCGGAGAAGGAUCGGCCCGCGUUGGAUUAGGUAGUUGGUGGGGUAAUGGCCCACCAAGCCGACGAUCCAUAGCUGGUUUGAGAGGAUGAUCAGCCACACUGGGACUGAGACACGGCCCAGACUCCUACGGGAGGCAGCAGUGGGGAAUCUUAGACGAUGGGGGCAACCCUGAUCUAGCCAUGCCGCGUGAGUGAUGAAGGCCUUAGGGUUGUAAAGCUCUUUCAGCUGGGAAGAUAAUGACGGUACCAGCAGAAGAAGCCCCGGCUAACUCCGUG